rnacentral:rRNA from 1 species
UACGGGGGGAGCAAGCGUUGUUCGGAUUUACUGGGCGUAAAGGGCGCGUAGGCGGUCAGCACAAGUCAGUUGUGAAAUCUCCGGGCUUAACUCGGAAAGGUCAACUGAUACUGUGCGACUAGAGUGCAGAAGGGGCAACUGGAAUUCUCGGUGUAGCGGUGAAAUGCGUAGAGCUCGGGAAGAACAUCGGUGGCGAAAGCGCUCUGCUGGACUGCAACUGACACUCAGGGACGAAAGCUAGGGGAGCGAAUGGG